rnacentral:lncRNA from 1 species
CUAAGGCCUCCUGUUUCUUGGUUUGAUUGAGCUUGCCAAGAAGCAUAAAAAGUCCUGGCAGUGUUUGUGAGAAAAUACCCCAGUGGAAUUCAGGAUCUGAACUGGUGAACCAGAGGCUACGGAAGUGAAUCACGCAAAGAACUUAGCCGCUAAGCCACCCGGCUGGCCCCUGCAUACUUUUGUUACUGAGGAUAUACUUCUGAGUGACAAAGGAAAUCAGACUUUUUGAUACUACAUUUCAAGUGAAAUAGUAAAUAGAAGACCUCAAAGUUUUGGAAAAUCUUGUAAAGAGUAGUGAGAAGUUCCUGGGGCAGUGUGAAGGCAGUUCUCUACAGAUCGACCCUGAGGAUGAAGUGAAUAGCUCUCACUGGACAUGCUGAGGAAGACUUCACUAAACCGACGCCUCUUCUGCCGUAUUCUAUAAUUUUCCAACACCAGAAAGAUUCAGAAAAUUGUAUUCUUUUACUCCUGUCUUCCGAGUUGGCAGGAUACUGUUUAGACACAUUAUACUUCUACAACAAAUUAAAAGUAAAAUGAGCAUAGC